rnacentral:rRNA from 1 species
GACGAACGCUGGCGGCGUGCUUAACACAUGCAAGUCGAACGGAAAGGCCCUGCUUUUGUGGGGUGCUCGAGUGGCGAACGGGUGAGUAACACGUGAGUAACCUGCCCUUGACUUUGGGAUAACUUCAGGAAACUGGGGCUAAUACCGGAUAUGAGCUCCUGCUGCAUGGUGGGGGUUGGAAAGUUUCGGCGGUUGGGGAUGGACUCGCGGCUUAUCAGCUUGUUGGUGGGGUAGUGGCUUACCAAGGCUUUGACGGGUAGCCGGCCUGGGAGGGUGACCGGCCACAUUGGGACUGAGAUACGGCCCAGACUCCUACGGGAGGCAGCAGUGGGAAAUAUUGCACAAUGGGCGGAAGCCUGAUGCAGCAACGCCGCGUGCGGGAUGACGGCCUUCGGGUUGUAAACCGCUUUCGCCUGUGACGAAGCGGGAGUGACGGUAAUGGGUAAAGAAGCACCGGCUAACUACGUG